UACGAGGGGGGCGAGCGUUGUUCGGAAUUAUUGGGCGUAAAGGGUGUGUAGGCGGCGAUGUUAGUCUUCUGUCAAAUUCUUCGGCUUAACCGGGGGUCUGCAGGGGAAACGGCAUUGCUCGAGUGUGCAAGGGGUGAAUGGAACUCAUGGAGUAGGGGUGAAAUCCGUUGAUAUCAUGGGGAACACCAAAAGCGAAGGCAAUUCACUGGUGCAUUACUGACACUGAAACACGAAAGCGUGGGUAGCGAACGGG
rnacentral:rRNA from 1 species